UAAUACAGAGGGUGCAAGCGUUAAUCGGAAUUACUGGGCGUAAAGCGCGCGUAGGUGGUUUGUUAAGUUGGAUGUGAAAGCCCCGGGCUCAACCUGGGAACUGCAUUCAAAACUGACAAGCUAGAGUAUGGUAGAGGGUGGUGGAAUUUCCUGUGUAGCGGUGAAAUGCGUAGAUAUAGGAAGGAACACCAGUGGCGAAGGCGACCACCUGGACUGAUACU
rnacentral:rRNA from 1 species